rnacentral:tRNA from 2 species
GGGGCCGUGGGGUAGUCAGGCCUAGCCUUCUGGCUUAAAACCAUUCAACAGAAUGGCUUGUCAAAUGGGACGUAGGCCUGCGCAAAAAUGCCAGGGACCCCGGUUCAAAUCCGGGCGGCCCCA